rnacentral:tRNA from 1 species
GAUGGAAUAGCUCAGUUGGUUACAGCGUGUGGUUGUUAACCAUUAGAUCGGAGGUUCGACCCCUCUGUCUAGCG